rfam:Nomascus leucogenys chromosome 22a, whole genome shotgun sequence.
GCUGGGCGCAGUGGCUCGCGCCUGUAAUCCCAGCACUGUGGGAGGCCGAGGCGGGUGGAUCACCUGAGGUCAGGAGUUUGAGAACAGCCUGACCAACAUGGCGAGAGCCCGUCUCUA